UGGUUAAAAAGCUCGUAGUUGGAUCUCGGCGGACUGAGGGCGGUUUGCUUGCUAGUAUUACUGCCCUAUAGUCCGUAGUUUUGCCAGAGGUUUCGGGGUGCUCUUAAUCGAGUGUCCCGGGAUGCUGGCAGGUUACUUUGAAAAAAUCAGAGUGCUCAAAGCAGGCUAUUACGCCUGAAUAUUCGUGCAUGGAAUAAUAUAAUAGGAAGUCGUUUCUAUUUUGUUGGUUUUCGGAAAUCGACUUAAUGAUUAAUAGGGACAGUCGGGGGCAUUUGUAUUCAAACGACAGAGGUGAAAUUCUUGGACCGUUUGAAGACAAACUACUGCGAAAGCAUUUGCCAAGAAUGUUUUCAUUAAUCAAGAACGAAAGUUAAAGGUUCGAAGGCGAUUAGAUACCGCCCUAGUUUUAACCAUAAACGAUGCAGCUAGCGAUCUGCGGACGUUGUUUUUGUAGACUCCGCAGGAGGCUUCCGGGAAACCAAAGCGUUUGGGUUCCAGGGGAAGUAUGGUUGCAAAGCUGAAACUUAAAGGAAUUGACGGAAGGGCACCACCAGGAGUGGAGCCUGUGGCUUAAUUUGACUCAACACGGGAAAUCUCACCAGGCCCGGACACUGGAAGGAUUGACAGAUUGAUAGCUCUUUCUUGAU
rnacentral:rRNA from 1 species